AGCAUUACCAAAAGAUCUAGUUAGUAGUAUAUAGAGUCAAAUGUCCCCUUGAGUUCCCUUUAACGCUUCAUUGUUCAUACUUGGUUGUAUAAUAUCUACCGGUAAACCAAUCUAAUGAACACUGAAGUGUUUGGGGGGACUCUAGGUGGUAUAUUGGCACCGAAAGGUUAGAUGAGUUACCGAGCUGUUUUGCAACGACCCGGGAGUUAAAAGAGAGACAUGGCGGCGAGAUCAAAGGAGAGGACCACGUUGAUGCUCUUGAUAAACAACAAGCCUUUAAAUUAUUCAAUAGUCACAUACACACACAACUUGAAAGCAAGAUUAUCACGGAAAUGGAUAUAGAUUCAUCUAGCCAUUACAUUACAUCUCUACUGAAUUGGGAAGACUAAAUGUGAUUGUUCUCUUUACCGA